UCAAACUUGGUCAUUUAGAGGAAGUAAAAGUCGUAACAAGGUUUCCGUAGGUGAACCUGCGGAAGGAUCAUUAACAGGCGUCCAUCAGUGGACUGCGCAUUGUGCUGUGUGAGGUGUGCGUGUUUCUUGGCCAUGGUCUUGCGGCUGUGGCCAAGAGGCUGCCCUUUAUUUUCUCCUUUUACGCGUGUCUGAUUUCUUUUUGCAAACCAACAAAACUGCCAGCAAUGGAUCCCUCGGUUCUCGCAUCGAUGAAGAACGCAGC
rnacentral:misc_RNA from 1 species